GUAGUUGUGGCUCAGUGGUAGAGCACUUGCCUAGCAUGUGUGAGGCCCUGGGUUCAAUCCUCAGCACCACA
rnacentral:tRNA from 1 species